rnacentral:misc_RNA from 1 species
GAAAUGCGAUAAGUAAUGUGAAUUGCAGAAUUCAGUGAAUCAUCGAAUCUUUGAACGCACAUUGCGCCCGCCAGUAUUCUGGCGGGCAUGCCUGUCCGAGCGUCAUUUCAACCAUCAAGCCCCCGGGCUUGUGUUGGGGACCUGGGGCUGCCCGCAGGCCCUGAAAACCAGUGGCGGGCUCGCUGUCACACCGAGCGUAGUAGCAAUCACCUCGCUCAGGGCGUGCUGCGGGUUCCGGCCGUUAAACAGCCUUACAAAACCCAAGGUUGACCUCGGAUCAGGUAGGAAGACCCGCUGAACUUAAGC